rnacentral:rRNA from 1 species
GACAGAGGAUGCAAGCGUUAUCCGGAAUAUUGGGCGUAAAGCGUCUGUAGGUGGCUUUUAAGUCCGCCGUCAAAUCCCAGGGCCUCAACCCUGGGACAGGCGGUGGAAACUACCAAGCUGGAGUACGGUAGGGGCAGAGGGAAUUUCCGGUGGAGCGGUGGAAAUGACGUAGAGAUCGGAAGAACACCAACGGCGAAAGCACUCUGCUGGGCCGACACUGACACUGAGAGAGAAAGCUAGGGGAGCGAAUGGG